CAGCCCCAGCUCCAGUGCCCUCAGCUGUCCCGGCCGCCCCCGAGCACAGGGCAGGAAGCCCCAGUGCCUUCAGCCCUAGAGUGCCAGGUGCCAGCACCCUCUGCCCUGGAGCCUCGGGUGGUCCAGCCCCAGUGGCCAGGGGCAUCUCAGCACUGGGCAACCUCAGCCACCCCAAGUUCCAGCAACAGGCCAGCCGCCCCAGCCCCAGCACACUUCCCAGAAGAGGAGCAGCCUGCUUGGACUGGGGCCAAGGGGAAGCAGCAAGCAGGAGGGAGCCUUGGGACAGAGUGUAGGCAUGGCCACACAGGGCUGUUUGGAGAAGCAUAGCCUUCCCCCGCCUAUGAUAUGGGCCUCCUAUGGCUAUAGCUCUAGAAUAAUCAGCUUUCUCUGAGCAUUCCAAAGGUGAAAAGAAAACCUCAAUCAUUUGGGGACUUCUCUGGUUCCCGCCCCUAGGGUAGCUUGGUUUUUCUGAUUGAGUGUUCCUUACAAGAAGAACAGGGGAGCCUGAUUCUCAGCAAUAGCUUAGGACUCUCUCAAACUCUUGAUUUGGGUAGGAGAAGCAACUCUCUUCACUGUGCUUUCAAAACUUACUAAGCAUCAUGGGUAAGAUAAUUGUAGUUUUUUAGGUGAUUUAUGAAAGCAGACCAGGAUUGGGCUGGGAUGUAGGGGAAGAUGGAAUGAGACAAGAUGACCUCACCGUUUACUUUUACCUGGUUCUUCUCUUGCUGAGUACAUGUUUGCAGUUCGUUAGCCUGUUUCUGCUGCUAAAAUGAAUAUACUUGGAAUAUUUUAAACUAGGGGGGAUUGCAGGUCUUUGUCUCUUUCCUCUAUUCUCUUCAGCAGUUCCUCUGCUGUGCUUAUUUUGCUGGAAGCUGCAGUGCUUUUGUCCUUCAUGCACCUUGUGCUGCAAUGCAGCUGAGUGCUUCAUAGAUGACUUAAUCUCUGCACUUCACCUCAGUGUGAUACUGAUGCUCUGUAGCUCUAAAUCAACUCCUCUGCAUAGCCUGGCUCCUGGCUCGUGUUCGCUUCCUGGUGUUUCUCUAAAACAGUUCCUCCCAAAACUGAUGUUCCCCCCUCCAGGCUCUCUCUGUGCAGACUGUAUACAUAGGAAAUGCUGCAAUCUGACAGGUUUGAUUGGCACAGCUUCCCUCGGUCCUUUCACAGAAGUGCUCUGAAAUGAGGAAUCACCAUUUUAACAGCCUCUGAGAUGCUGUAUUAUGAAAUGCGUCAGCUGGGGUAAAACUGUGUCUAGUUCCUUUGGUUAAGUAAUUGAAGAGCAAGAAGAGGAGAUGGAAGCAGAGGAGCAGGAAGAGAAUUGUCGGUUUGAUUUGGAGAAGAUGAAGAUCACAGAGGGAAGAAAUAUGAUGCUGAUGACCUUUGAUGAAGUGGUUUUGUAUUUCUGCGAGGCAGAGUGGGGCUCUUGGAUGAAGAGCAGAGGGAAAUCUACAAGGAUGUCAUACAGGAAAAUUAAUCUCCCUGGGUACGUCUCUCACAUAUGUAAGAAGCUGUGCAGUCUCUGAAGUGUCUAUGGCCAGCUUCUGCUCAGUGUCCUUCCCUGCCCCCUUAGAAUUACAAAAUCAGUCUCUAUAGUACCCAGAAUCACUGCAAGAACAGACCAUCCUCUCCAUACCAAUUCCCUUUCAAAGGCGGAUUCUGAAAUACUGCAGUGGAGCUAAUUCCCAGAGCUUUCUAUUGAGACAGAAUAGAGGGAUAGACUAGACAUGACAUAACAGAUCUGUUUCACUUAUUCUCACCAUUGUAUUACCUACUAAGAUUGGCUUUGUCUUUGCAAGAGGGAAAAUUCCUGUGGGAAGAGCCAUAGGGCUCAUUCUUGAAUACAAAACCAGAGUCUCUCUGCAGGCUUAGAAAUGGGCAAGUGAUUUAAUUUUUUACACUGUGUCAGUUGUCUUAUUUUCCUGCGUGUAGAGAUCCCUGAUUCUCCUUCAGAGAUUACAACACAUCUCCUAACAGUUAUUUACUCUUCCAGCAAGACUCGUGACAAUCUUCUCUCUAUUUGGAUUACACCCUUGCCUCUGGUAAAACAAUGUGGGCUUAUAAAAGUCAUGAUCAUUCUUUGUGACAAGUACUCAAACAUUAGCCAGCUGUUAACACAUCUUUUCCAAUGACCAGGAUUUCCGAUUCCCAAGCCUGAGAUGAUAGCUUUCCUUCUUUCCACCCGGGCUAUUCGUCCCAGAUCUCCAGCACUCUGAGGAAACAGAGAUCCUGAUGGUAAACUGCACAGGUGAGGCAAUGAGUGAAGUAAAAACCUGGGAUUCUAAUAAUGUUUUUGCUCUCUUUCAUCUUGUUAGCUGAUGUGCAAUGGCCGAGUCUGCAUCCUGUUGUCCAUGUGCAAUAGCAAAAAGAAAAUGUCAUGAUUCUUACCCUGAAUCAUGGAAACAAACCUGAUAAUCAGUUUCAUUAUAUAGUCACCAUAUCAGGUUCUAUGCUUAUAGCAUUUCUAAUUUAAAAAAAAACAGCUAACAUUCUCUAGAAAAGAGAAUGAUUUGAUUUACCAAAGAUUAAAAAUAAGUUAGCUGUCUGAUUCUCCCAUGGUGGUCAUGAAUAGCAGUAGGAUUGGUGUCUCAAAGUGGUAAAGCCAAAAAAAAAAGAAUAAAAAAUAAA